rnacentral:lncRNA from 1 species
AAAGGACUUUUCCAAGGCUUGUAAUGAGGUUGGGCUAACAAGAAAGAAUUGGUUUUUCUAGAAUGAAAAAUCCUUGAGUCAAGAGAGCUAACAAAAUAUUCAACAUUUAAGCACAACUCUCUCACCAAUAUCUCUCAUUCCUAACUUCUUCCCUUUUCUUUUCUUUUUCAUUGAGCUCAUCUUCAUGAUUUUCUUCUUUUCUUUUCUUUUUCUCAUGAUUUUUUCUCUUUUCACAACAAUUGAGCUUAAUGCCUUUCACUUGCUUUUUCAAUUUUCCCCCCUAGAACCCCAAACUUGAACCUUUUCAUCACACACAAUUAAGCUC